rnacentral:rRNA from 1 species
UACGUAGGGGGCAAGCGUUAUCCGGAUUUAUUGGGCGUAAAGGGAACGCAGGCGGUCUUUUAAGUCUGAUGUGAAAGCCUUCGGCUUAACCGGAGUAGUGCAUUGGAAACUGGGAGGCUUGAGUGCAGAAGAGGAGAGUGGAACUCCAUGUGUAGCGGUGAAAUGCGUAGAUAUAUGGAAGAACACCAGUGGCGAAAGCGGCUCUCUGGUCUGUAACUGACGCUGAGGUUCGAAAGCGUGGGUAGCAAACAGG